rnacentral:rRNA from 1 species
GACGUAGGGCGCGAGCGUUGUCCGGAUUUAUUGGGCGUAAAGAGCUCGUAGGCGGCUUGUUGCGUCGACCGUGAAAACCCGGGGCUCAACUUCGGGCUUGCGGUCGAUACGGGCGGGCUAGAGUUCGGUAGGGGAGACUGGAAUUCCUGGUGUAGCGGUGAAAUGCGCAGAUAUCAGGAGGAACACCGGUGGCGAAGGCGGUUCUCUGGGCCUGUACUGACGCUGAGGAGCGAAAGCGUGGGGAGCGAACAGG